ACUGCGGUGUAAUUGCACCCUGCCUCUUCCUGUACUCCACACUGCCGGGGAGUGGAGGGAGGGAGGAGGGGUGACUGGGCUUCUGACGUUAUACAAAUCGGAAUUCCCUUCCCCGUGCGCACUCGUUCACUCACUCACACCCUCACUCUAACCCCGUCUGGCUCUCAGACACUCUCUCUCUCUCUUUCACACACUCACACACAUGGUGUCUGCGAGGCUGCCGGGCGCUCCCUCUGAAGACUAACUGCAAUCUUCAGGAUUCUCUCAGUCUCUGAGUUUUAGGAAGGGAGAGUGGGAAAAAGUGCAAAAAAGUAACAGUGUGUGCUGGUGUUUCUCUCUCUCUGGUCUGUAUCAGUGGGCCAGUCUCCUGUGCCUGCUGUGCUGAUAAUCAGUGUCUCUCUUCAGCUGGCUCAGUUCAGCAGGAACAGGGGCCUGGUCUUGCCAACAUAAUACCUUAGAGGUGCACAGCCACACACACACACACACACACUCACACACACACACACACGCACACAGAUGCACGCCACCAGACGUACACUACCUUCCACAGCUGGGAUCCAGAGCGACAUGGCUAUAUGCAGUUUAUUUAAGUUAUGAAUGUAAUAAUAUGUGACAAUAUGAAUGUAGCCUACCAAUUAUGGGCUGGCGCCAGUGACUUGUCCUGUGACAUCAAUAAAACGGAGACAUCAAUAAAAGCUAAAAGGCUCCAAGUCAAA